AGGCGUGCUUAACACAUGCAAGUCGAACGAAGCACUUUAUUUGAUUUCUUCGGAAUGAAUAUUUUGUGACUGAGUGGCGGACGGGUGAGUAACGCGUGGGUAACCUGCCUCAUACGGGGGGAUAACAGUUGGAAACGACUGCUAAUACCGCAUAAGCGCACAGGGUCGCAUGACCUGGUGUGAAAAACUCCGGUGGUAUGAGAUGGACCCGCGUCUGAUUAGCCAGUUGGGUGGGGUAACGGCCUACCAAAGCGACGAUCAGUAGCCGACCUGAGAGGGUGACCGGCCACAUUGGGACUGAGACACGGCCCAAACUCCUACGGGAGGCAGCAGUGGGGAAUAUUGCACAAUGGGGGAAACCCUGAUGCAGCGACGCCGCGUGAGCGAAGAAGUAUUUCGGUAUGUAAAGCUCUAUCAGCAGGGAAGAAGAAAUGACGGUACCUGACUAAGAAGCACCGGCUAAAUACGUGCCAGCAGCCGCGGUAAUACGUAUGGUGCAAGCGUUAUCCGGAUUUACUGGGUGUAAAGGGAGCGCAGGCGGUACGGCAAGUCUGAUGUGAAAGCCCGGGGCUCAACCCCGGUACUGCAUUGGAAACUGUCGGACUAGAGUGUCGGAGGGGUAAGUGGAAUUCCUAGUGUAGCGGUGAAAUGCGUAGAUAUUAGGAGGAACACCAGUGGCGAAGGCGGCUUACUGGACGAUUACUGACGCUGAGGCUCGAAAGCGUGGGGAGCAAACAGGAUUAGAUACCCUGGUAGUCCACGCCGUAAA
rnacentral:rRNA from 1 species